GAUGAACGCUAGCGAUAGGCUUAACACAUGCAAGUCGAGGGGCAGCACAAGGUAGCUUGCUCUCUGGGUGGCGACCGGCGCACGGGUGCGUCACGCGUAUGCAACUUGCCCUAUACAGGAGGAUAACCCGUCGAAAGACGGACUAAUACUGCGUAUGCUCACAACUUGGCAUCAAGUGGUGAGGAAAGAAAUUCGGUAUAGGAUAGGCAUGCGUCCCUUUAGCUUGUUGGUGAGGUAACGGCACACCAAGGCAACGCUGGGCAGGGGAACUGAGAGGUAUGUCCCCGACACUGGUACUGGGACACAGACCAGACACCUACGACAGGGAGCAGUCAGGAAGAGUAGUCAAGAGACCCGAACCUAAACCAGCCAAGUCGCGUGAAGGAUGACUGUCUUAUGGAUUGUAAACUUCUUUUAAACGAGAAUAACAAGAGUAACGAGUGAGUCCCUGCAAGUACCGUAUGAAUAAGCAUCGGCUAACUCCGUG
rnacentral:rRNA from 1 species